UACAGAGGGGGCAAGCGUUGUCCGGCAUCAUUGGGCGUAAAGCGCGUGUAGGCGGCCCAGUAAGUCCGCUCUGAAAGCCCGGGGCUCAACCCCGGGAGGCGGGUGGAUACUGCUGGGCUCGAGUCCGGAAGAGGCGAGUGGAAUUCCUGGUGUAGCGGUGAAAUGCGUUGAUAUCAUCAGGAACACCGGUGGCGAAGGCGGCUCUCUGGAUCUUUUCUGACGCUGAGGCACGAAAGCUAGGGGAGCAAACGGG
rnacentral:rRNA from 1 species